rnacentral:rRNA from 1 species
GACGAACGCUGGCGGCGUGCUUAAUACAUGCAAGUCGAACGAUCCCGGGGCUUCGGCCCCAAUGGGAGAGUGGCGAACGGGUGAGUAUCACGUGAGAAACCUGCCCCGGAGAUCGGGAUAACCCAGAGAAAUUUGGGCUAAUACCGAAUACCCUGCGAGUGCCGCAUGGCACAUGCAGGAAACGUUCCGGCGCUCCGGGAGGGUCUCGCGGCCUAUCAGCUUGUUGGUGAGGUAACGGCUCACCAAGGCAUCGACGGGUAGCUGGUCUGAGAGGACGAUCAGCCACACUGGGACUGAGACACGGUCCAGACUCCUACGGGAGGCAGCAGUAGGGAAUCUUGCGCAAUGGGCGAAAGCCUGACGCAGCAACGCCGCGUGGGGGAAGAAGGCCUUCGGGUCGUAAACCCCUUUCAGCAGGGACGAAAAUGACGGUACCUGCAGAAGAAGGGCCGGCCAACUACGUGCCAGCAGCCGCGGUAAUACGUAGGGCCCAAGCGUUGUCCGGAUUUAUUGGGCGUAAAGAGCUCGUAGGCGGUUCGGUAAGUCGGGUGUGAAAACUCAGGGCUCAACCCUGAGACGCCACUCGAUACUGCCAUGACUAGAGUCCGGUAGAGGAGCGUGGAAUUCCUGGUGUAGCGGUGAAAUGCGCAGAUAUCAGGAGGAACACCGAUAGCGAAGGCAGCGCUCUGGGCCGGUACUGACGCUGAGGAGCGAAAGCGUGGGGAGCAAACAGGAUUAGAUACCCUGGUAGUCCACGCCGUAAACGUUGGGCACUAGGUGUGGGUUCCAUCCAACGGAAUCCGUGCCGUAGCUAACGCAUUAAGUGCCCCGCCUGGGGAGUACGGCCGCAAGGCUAAAACUCAAAGGAAUUGACGGGGGUCCGCACAAGCGGUGG